UAAUGAAAACAACUUUUCUCUUGCUUAAUUUAUUUGAAAAUCCAGGAAAGUGAGCAAACCACUUAAAAUGUCUUGCCCAACCAAAUGGAAGGUAUUUUUCAUAACAAGCUUUUGGACCAAUCGACAUCUGUUCAGAUCACUUUGUUUAGCAGCAUCUGCAGCAAUAACAAAGAGGAAUCUGUAAACUUUGUUCAUAAUAUUGUUUCCUUUGUAUCUACAGCACCUAACUUCAGUUGGUAUCCUCACACUCGUUUGUUCAACCCUAAUUGUUGUUUGUCACGUUGUUAAUAAACUGCAUAAAUAAAUCUCGUUAUAUACCUUUGUAGGACAAUGCACUCGUUAUAUACCUCUUACUUAAUGCAUAUUAAGAAGUAACAAAUUUAUGGCAAUUAGGAAGACAUUAUGCAUCUCCUGGGUACUCCCAAAUAUUUAAAAUAAAUAUAGAACCUCCUUGCUUCACUUGAAACUUAAACUCCUGGUUGCAAUUGCCACAAGUGAAGAUGAUCAUAAUUUCCCCCAAUACCGAAUGUUUUGCACUUUUUGUUGCAUUUAGUAAACUUUUCGCCACGCAGUGUGGUCAUGGAAUGUACCGGCUGUUUUAAAAUAGAAACAUAAAAAA